CACGUAGGGCGCAAGCGUUGUCCGGAAUUAUUGGGCGUAAAGAGCUCGUAGGCGGUCUGUUGCGUCCGCUGUGAAAACUCGGGGCUUAACCCCGAGCCUGCAGUGGAUACGGGCAGACUAGAGGUAGGUAGGGGAGAAUGGAAUUCCCGGUGUAGCGGUGAAAUGCGCAGAUAUCGGGAGGAACACCUGUGGCGAAGGCGGCCCCCUGGUUGGAUACUGACGCUGAGACGCGAAAGCGUGGGGAGCAAACAGG
rnacentral:rRNA from 1 species